rnacentral:rRNA from 1 species
AUGGCUAAGUGGGAAAGGAUGUGAGGAUCCCAAAACAACCAGGAUGUUGGCUUAGAAGCAGCCAUCAUUUAAAGAAAGCGUAACAGCUCACUGGUCUAAAUAAGGGUCUUUGCGCCGAAAAUGUAACGGGGCUAAAGCCAUGCACCGAAGCUGAGGGCGUGCUUUGCACGCGGUAGCGGAGCGUUCUGUACGACUGUGAAGGGAGACCUGUGAGGGCUCCUGGAGUUAUCAGAAGUGAGAAUGCUGACAUGAGUAACGAUAAAGCGGGUGAGAGACCCGCUCGCCGAAAGUCCAAGGGUUCCUGCGUAAAGCUAAUCUGCGCAGGGUUAGCCGGCCCCUAAGUCGAGGCAGAAAUGCGUAGACGAUGGGAACCACGUUAAUAUUCGUGGGCCAGGUGGUAGUGACGAAUGCUGUGUGUUGUCCAUCCUUAUUGGAUUGGUUGGGCAGCGAAGGUGUUCCAGGAAAUAGCUCCACCAACAUUGACCGUACCCGAAACCGACACAGGUGGACUGGUAGAGUAUACCAAGGCGCUUGAGAGAACUAUGCUGAAGGAACUCGGCAAAAUGCUCCCGUAAGUUCGCGAGAAGGGAGACCCUUGCUUGGGCAACCAGGUGAGGGUGGCACAGACCAGGGGGUGGCGACUGUUUAUUAAAAACACAGGGCUCUGCGAAGUUGCAAAACGACGUAUAGGGUCUGACGCCUGCCCGGUGCCGGAAGGUUAAGAGGAGUGGUGCAAGCCGCGAAUUGAAGCCCCGGUAAACGGCGGCCGUAACUAUAACGGUCCUAAGGUAGCGAAAUUCCUUGUCGGGUAAGUUCCGACCUGCACGAAUGGCGUAACGACUUCCCCGCUGUCUCCAGCAUAGACUCAGUGAAAUUGAAUUCCCCGUGAAGAUGCGGGGUUCCUGCGGUCAGACGGAAAGACCCCGUGAACCUUUACUAUAGCUUCACACUGGCAAUUGUGUCGUCAUGUGUAGGAUAGGUGGUAGACUAUGAAAGGCAGCGCCAGCUGUUCUGGAGUCAUCCUUGAAAUACCACCCUUGAAGUCAUGAUUGUCUAACCGCGGCGCAACAACGCCCGGGACAGUGUGUGGUGGGUAGUUUGACUGGGGCGGUCGCCUCCCAAAGAGUAACGGAGGCGCGCGAAGGUAGGCUCAGACCGGUCGGAAAUCGGUCGUUGAGUGCAAUGGCAUAAGCCUGCCUGACUGCGAGACUGACAAGUCGAGCAGAGUCGAAAGACGGUCAUAGUGAUCCGGUGGUCCCGUGUGGAAGGGCCAUCGCUCAACGGAUAAAAGGUACUCCGGGGAUAACAGGCUGAUGACGCCCAAGAGUCCAUAUCGACGGCGUUGUUUGGCACCUCGAUGUCGGCUCAUCGCAUCCUGGGGCUGGAGCAGGUCCCAAGGGUUUGGCUGUUCGCCAAUUAAAGCGGUACGUGAGCUGGGUUUAGAACGUCGUGAGACAGUUCGGUCCCUAUCUGCCGUGGGUGUAGGAAUAUUGCGAGGAUCUGUCCCUAGUACGAGAGGACCGGGAUGGACAGACCUCUGGUGGACCUGUUGUGGCGCCAGCCGCAUUGCAGGGUAGCUAUGUUUGGAACGGAUAACCGCUGAAGGCAUCUAAGCGGGAAACCAGCCUCAAAACCAGUAUUCCCUUGAGAGCCGUGGAAGACGACCACGUUGAUAGGCUGGGUGUGGACGUGCAGCAAUGCAUGAAGCUUACCAGUACUAAUUGCUCGAUUGGCUUGAUUGC